UCAUGGGGCUCCAAAUUUGGUUCAGCUGUGGGUACUGCCAAACAGGCUUCAAAUGUAUCAUUCGGGCCUGUUAGGUGGAGCCGGUAUACUUCUUCCCUGGCCUCAUCAAUGAUCAUUCUUUCACGUCCUGUAAGCAUAGCCUCCCUAUAAGGAGGGUUGUGAUCUGUCCAAUUAAGCAAAUUUGAGGUGGAGAAACGACUAUGCAUCCAUAGAAACCCAGCUUGGCUGUUUGCAUUUAGGCCUCCUGAGGGAUAAUGGUGUAAGGGAAAUUUCCCUGCUCCAGCAGUGGCUCUUGGGUCUUAGAUGGCGACUCCAGGCCAGGUUCUUGCAUUAGCAGAGGAUUUUCUAACUAAGCCCUAUAAAGAGGGGGGGGUAUAUUGGCAUAAGGGCUGCACAGCAGUGAUAGCCAGCUUGGCUAGAGGUUGGAGCAACAUAUCCUUACCCUUGUUCCCUUUUUUCCUGUAUGACACAUUUUCCCUUGGGUUUUUUUUUUUUUCUUUUUUUUUAACAUAAGGUAACAGCUGUCUGACUUUUUCCCUCCCCGAUGUAAUAGCACAAAUGCUUGCACAUAGAGGAUUUUAUCACUCUUCCCUGCUUCUUCACAGAAGAGCUACAGAGCCACUCAAAGGCCACUGUAAAACCUAUGGCAUCCAAGAACCAACUGUGGGAGAGGAGGAGCAGACCCCAGACAGUACCUCAAUGGAGAUGGUGAACCCAAGCUUUUCUCUAUCAGGGGAUCAAGAAGGACUUUCCAGAAGAGGAGCUACCUAAAUGAGGAACCAAGGUGUGAAGUUCUGUUGGACCUACCUGUGCUCUCACAGAUCAUAGAAGAUGAUGACCCUCUGCUGGUGGAGCCUCCCCCUCCCUCGAUGACUGGGAGCUGGGAGAGGAUAGCCACCCUCUUCCCACUCUUCAGCCCAGAGAAGCUCAGAGAGGCACAAAGGUCUAAGCCCUAAAGAAAGGACCUGUGGAAAGUCUGGGUGCAGGAGAAAGGAUGAUUCAAUGCCAAGCCCACAUCAAGCCUCUACUUGCAUCAAGUCUACACAUAUCCUACUGGCUAGAGCAAGUCAUAUGGUUGAGACCAGGGUCAGGGGUGGGUAGGCCACUCUGCUCAUAAGUGGAAGGGCAUGGCAAAGUUAGAUGCAAAAGGCACACUAUAGGCAGGAGUGAUGAGUUAGAGCUAUCUGUGCAGUCUCUCCACAGAGUGAAUUGCUGAAAAAUAAACUUUAGCUUUCAGCUAACAUUUUAACAUUAUGGCCACAGAAAUUAUGUACCUGAUACCACUGAGAAUGUUAAAAAAGUGUUGCCUAGGAGUUCCCAUCGUGGCUCAGCAGUAAUGAUCCCAACUAGUAUCCAUGAGGACGUGGGUUCAUCCCUGGCCUGGCUCAGU